UCACCAGCUCCAGAGACUAAAGCCCUUUAUUUAUCUACUGAACAGGUGCAGCAUGGACAGUCACAGCACAAGUUUCCCCACACCAGCCUGCCAACAUGUCUCAGCAGUGAUCUAGUCUCCAUACACGUUCAGUCCUUGGCACCUCUGCUGAGACUGCUACC
rnacentral:sRNA from 1 species